GAGGGUAUAACUCAGUGGUAGAGUGCGCAGUUAGCAUGCAGGAUGUCCUGGGUUCAAUCCCCAGUACCUCUG
rnacentral:tRNA from 1 species